UGUUAGAUAUUCAAUGGGGAAAAAUCUGAUUGGAUGAAUGCUUCUUCCAGGAGGGGAGGAGUGUUAGAUAUUCAAUGGGGAAAAGUCAGUGAUGUCAGACUUUCCCCA